rnacentral:lncRNA from 1 species
GUGGGACGAACUGCAGCUCCUCUCUGGGCCUUGGCCCAUCGGUACACAGCCGCCUAGGGAAAAAACGGCCGCUUCUGUGCAGGCAUCCAGCACCAGCGCGGAGCUGAGGUCUCCUCGCCCACCCUAUUUGCAUAACGCGGGCUCAAGCCCCCGGGCCCGCGCUCAGACAGGAGCGCCCUGGCACCCCUAGGCUCAGGGCCCGCCCCGGACGCCCCGUCCCGCCCACUCCGUGAGAAGCACCGGCUGAGAGGUGAGGACAGGUGCUCCCGCAGGGCGCCGCCAGCCCUCCCUGAAGCCGCUGUCCAGCCCGCGGUGCUGAAGCGUCCUGAACCCUGCCGCCAGAGAACAGGGCAGGCCCCGCCUGGAGCUGCCAUUCCCAACUCCGCAGACUCCAAGUCUCGCCCACGCUGGCCUAAUAAUCUGCAAAGAUGCUUGUUUGCCUCGGCAGGUUUAAACUGGAAUCGCCUCCGAGAUCCGAGCUUCCCUGAGGAGCCACACGAAGGGCCACCGUUUGUCCAGGAGCCACACGCCUUGGGAGAAUGGACAGUACUGAAUUCCUGUGCUCCAUCCUGGAACCAGCAGGCGUUCACGCACUAUGGACAUCUCCACUGCCCGCUCCUGACUUGUCCCAUGAGUUGUGUGGGAAGACUGAGCCCAGGGAAGGAUCCACUCACUUUUCAGGAACUCAAUUCUUCCCACCUGUAUCCAAACCCGGCAGGCCCUGCUACCUGAGGGAGGUGGGGUGAGACAAUCCCUGGAAUUCCUCCCAUACACAUUCCCCACAGUUAAGAUGUCUCUCCCUCCACUCUGGAUGACCCUCAAAUUCUGUGGAUGCCCACAACCCCUUCCCCCGACCCAGUGACCAGACAGGCAGGAGAGAUCAAUGUUCCCAGAGAAGAGCUCUGCAACCUGGAGUCUAGAAUCUUGUUCUUGGAGGAGUAAAUGACAUGGUUGCCCAAUGAGUUGAACAUAAUCAUGAUGGCAGAGAUAUUGGGCAGCAAGAAGAAGCUGGGUACAGGUCCUGGGGCAGAAAUUAGUCCAGAAAAAAGAGGCCAGUAGAAUGCCAGCAUGAGCAGCCAGAUGGCUGCACUGGUGCCCAGGACCAAGCCCACACUGGACCUACCAUGCCUUGGCUUGCCCCAGGACCCCAUGGGUGACCAUCAUGGCAGCCCGGGGCCCAGUUGUACCUUCUUAGCAUCAGCCAAGGCUCAGUUCAGGCUAGGAGAAAGAUGAGUCACCAGUCAAGGAAAAAGGGUUUUGAGAGGGCACUCCAGAGGAG